GGGUAACGGGGUGUUAGGGCACGACACCGGAGAGGGAGCCUGAGAAACGGCUACCACAUCCAAGGAUGGCAGCAGCCGCGCAAAUUACCCAAUCCCGACACGGGGAGGUAGUGACAAUAAAUAACAAUACGGGGUCCUUUCGGGUUUCGUAAUUGGAAUGAGUACAAUUUAAAUCUCUUAACGAGGAACAAUUGGAGGGCAAGUCUGGUGCCAGCAGCCGCGGUAAUUCCAGCUCCAAUAGCGUAUAUUAAAGUUGUUGCAGUUAAAAAGCUCGUAGUUGAAUUUCGGGAUUAGUGCGCCGGUCGUGCCUUCGGUAUGUACUGGUGUUACUGGUUCCUACCUUCUGACGAACCGUCAUGUCGUUAAUUUGGUGUGGCGGGGAAUCAGGACUGUUACUUUGAAAAAAUUAGAGUGUUUAAAGCAGGCUCGCGCUUGAAUACAUUAGCAUGGAAUAAUGAAAUAGGACGUUCGAUCUUAUUUUGUUGGUUUCUAGGAUUGACGUAAUGAUUGAUAGGGAUAGUUGGGGGCAUUAGUAUUCAAUUGUCAGAGGUGAAAUUCUUGGAUUUAUUGAAGACUAACUACUGCGAAAGCAUUUGCCAAGGAUGUUUUCAUUAAUCAAGAACGAAAGUUAGGGGAUCGAAGACGAUCAGAUACC
rnacentral:rRNA from 1 species